UACGUAGGGUGCAAGCGUUGUCCGGAAUUAUUGGGCGUAAAGAGCUCGUAGGCGGUCUGUCGCGUCGGCUGUGAAAUCCCGAGGCUCAACCUCGGGUCUGCAGUCGAUACGGGCAAACUAGAGUAUUGCAGGGAGACUGGAAUUCCUGGUGUAGCGGUGAAAUGCGCAGAUAUCAGGAAGAACACCCGUGGCGAAGGCGGCUCUCUGGGACGGUACUGACGCUGAGACGCGAAAGCGUGGGGAGCGAACAGG
rnacentral:rRNA from 1 species